CAAUAGCGUAUAUUAAAGUUGUUGCGGUUAAAAAGCUCGUAGUUGGAUUUCUGCCGAGGACGACCGGUCCGCCCUCUGGGUGUGUAUCUGGUUUGGCCUGGGCAUCUUCUUGGAGAACGUAGCUGCACUUGACUGUGUGGUGCGGUGUCCAGGACUUUUACUUUGAGGAAAUUAGAGUGUUUCAAGCAGGCACACGCCUUGAAUACAUUAGCAUGGAAUAAUAAGAUAGGACCUCGGUUCUAUUUUGUUGGUUUCUAGGGCUAAGAUAAUGAUUAAUAGGGAUAAUUGGGGGCAUCUGUAUCAACGCGUCAGAGGUGGAAUUCUUGGAUUGCGUUGCGACAAACUACUGCGAAAGCAUUUGCCAAGGAUGUUUUCAUUGA
rnacentral:rRNA from 1 species